rnacentral:rRNA from 1 species
UACGUAGGGUGCGAGCGUUGUUCGGAAUUAUUGGGCGUAAAGGGUGCGUAGGCGGUUUGGUAAGUCUGAUGUGAAAUCUAUGGGCUCAACUCAUAGUCUGCAUCGGAAACUGCCGGGCUUGAGUGUGGGAGAGGUGAGUGGAAUUCCUGGUGUAGCGGUGAAAUGCGUAGAUAUCAGGAGGAACACCUGUGGCGAAAGCGGCUCACUGGACCAUAACUGACGCUGAUGCACGAAAGCUAGGGGAGCAAACAGG